AUUGUUGGUGUUUGGCUGAGUGAAGAGUGCCCACCAAAUCCUAGGGCUCACCAGUCUUGAGGAGUUCUGUCAACCUCAGACUGAGGAAGGAGUACACAGUGAACUUCACCCCAAUCCAGUCUACUGCUUGGGCUACUUCUGAGUGGACCAACAGUGGGAGCUGCUGUAUGGAAGUUUGGUGCAUUAGUUGGUGCUGGCAUAUCAUACCAUGUUGCACUGGAAAUUAUGUUUCGUUUUGGUGCAUCCAGAGUUGCCAUGAUUGGAGAGAGCUCUUGCUGUGAGGAUAGAAUUUGGCAGUAACUGUGCAGUUCUAUCAGAUGCACAAGUAUGGGGCUAAUGGGUUGGAUGACUGAGCUACAAUUCCCAAAGUGGAUAUUUUUCUGUUUCUGCAUCCAGACUGGCUCUGAGGCU